rnacentral:lncRNA from 1 species
GAGGAAAGGUUUUCCUCAUCAUUCUUUCUGGUGCCUGGCUGCUCGUCCCCACCUCUACAUGGGGGAAUUCUCUUCUCCUUGACUCACAGGAGGGUAAAUAAAAGCCCAGGCUGAUGUAGAGCACAGAUGUUCAACUGCUCCUUGCACAUCUAAAGUCUGAGUUUUUAUACAAGCAGCCCUCACCUCCAUGGACAGAGCAAUGUCACUCGCUCCCUCCAAGUCCCAGCUAUCAGAGCACAUGGACAUUCCAGCCUGAGAUUAUUUCUUUAUUGAUAAAGUGCUCUAUCAGCUGCAAGAGGAGCCACAAACCUGAAGGAUAACAGAGCCUUUGUGGCUGGGGAGAAGAGGCAAAAGCCUCUCUCUGCUCUGCACCAGCCCAGGAGCAUUUUCCUUUCCUUGUGGGGCAUUUGCCAGCAGCAAAGCACUGUGACUCAGGGACAAACCUCCCUAAACAGCAAGCAUUUCCUCUCCAUCAUCUUUGCAUCAUAUGACCUUCAAAACAAAUCAGAAGGUAAAAUAAACACCUAAAAGCAGCCAGGGUAUUUGGCCUGAAUGAACUCCAUCAGGGCUGUGAAGCUGGAGGAAUGCAUUAUCAGUUCUGAGCAAUUUUUGAUUUUUCCCCAGUGUGGGACUGCAGAAGUGGCCUUAUUGAAAGGCCAGAAUUUGCUUCUAUUUCAAACAGUGACAGAGGAAUGAAGAGCUGGAUGAAGAACUGGAGGAAGUGUAAGAAAGCAAGCUGGAGAGAGAAGGUGUUGGGUUCCCUUUAAAGCAGGGGUGGAAAGAACCAUUUCUUGCCCAGCCGAGCCGAGGUUUUGUGUCGGAGCCGGUGCCAGACACAAGUUUGAGGAGCCCCGGGGUGGACAGGGAGGCUCAUGGGGGGAGCGGGGGUCCCUUCCUGGGGCUGCCUUCCCUCCUCCUGCGCAUUCCGCGCCCCUCCCUCGCUUCUCCGCGUUUUGGAGAAGAAACCCCUGUAAUGCGGACACGACUGGUGCCGAUUCCCUGAUGCUUUGCCCCAUCGAUACCUCGGGGCGGGGGGGAGAUGCGAUAAAUCAGUUCCGCGGACAAACUGGGGUCACUUUCCCGAGCUGCGCUAAAUGCGCUGUUUACUCGUUUCUGCCAAGAAGAGCUGAAUUAAACGUAAUUAUUUAUUUAUGGGGGCUGGUUAAACGGCAGCAAUCCCGCCGCUGGAAGAUAUUAUGAAGACAGAGGGAAACUCUUGUUAUUUCUUCGAGGGGAAGGGGGGAAUUAAAACGGGCUUUUUGGUCGAAGUCAUUACAAAAUCUCCCGUGCUCUCGGCGAGCAGAGAGCGGGGACAAUGGUGACAUCGCGGUCGGAGGGGUUGGGAAUUCGUGCCUGGCUGCAAAGGACAAUUGAGAAAGAGCAGAGAAGAGGCGCUGCCCCCAGCCCGGGCAGGCACAGCCCCACGGGGAACCCCUUCCCCCGGGCACGGAGCGCAGCAGCCCCGCACGGUUUGCCGGCUUUGGAGCAG